AUUAAUCAAUAUAUUAAAUGAAUUGUAAAAUGAUAAUUAAUUUUUACUGUAAAUUUUAAAUUAACAAAACAGUAGUGAAAGUAUAAUUGACUAUAUAAAAUGUUUAUGACACAAUUGAUAAACAUUAUUAUUCGUUGACAAAAAAAAAGAUAAAUAUUAUUAUGCAUUUAACCUCAAAAAUUAAUUUUCAUUAAUCAUUAAUGGAAUUGAAUUGAAUUAACUUAUAAUGUUUUAAUGUGACUCAUAUUAUAAGUAAAAAUAUACAUGGAAUAAGAAAACUAGAGUCAUCUUAUUUAUUAAAGCACAAGUCAUUACUUUUUUAUGUGUAAUUAUUUUUGGACAAUCUCUUGAAAAUUUAUUAAAUGUUACUUUUGUAUUACCUAAUAAUAUCCCAACAGAAAAUUUCAUGUGAUACCAUUCAGUCUCAUGUAUAGUCUUAUCUUUGUUUUUGAACAAAGUAUAGUCUUAUCUAUUAGAACAGAACUUAUGACUUUUUCAUGUGUAAUCUUUUGUUUAGACCAUCUCUUGAAAAAAUUAAUGUACUUUUGUAUUACCAAAUAAAAUCUCAACAAUAAAUCUCAUAUUAUACCAUCCAAUCUCAUGUACAGAUAAAUUAAAAAGAAUUAUGUUAUUAUAUUGAAUAGUUUAUACAUUAUACAUAUAUCAAUAUCUGUAUAGUUAAUGUGUUAACAUGUAUUGAUAAAUAUAUAAUAUUGUUCAAUGCAAAACUAAAUAUUCAAUUAUAUACUGGUUUUAAUAAUUAAAUCGGUUUUGAUAUAUCUAGUACUAUAGUGUAUACGAAAAGUUAUAUUAUUUUAGUGAAAAUGCACAUGUGUAACAUAAGAAAAUAUAUUUGAUUAUCCUAUUGUAAAAAUACUAUAUAUUCAUUUAUUUUGUAUUAUCUAAUAUCAAUACUAUUAAAAUAGAAGUCAUGACUCAUUUUAUGUGUGAUUUUUUGUUGGACUGCCCUUUAGAAAGUUCUUAAAUGAAUUUUUGUAUAAAUACUUGAAAUAUUUAAAUUACUUUAAACCAACUAAUCAGAUAUAUAUAUUCCUUUAUUUUCUCUAAAUUUUCAUCUGAAUAAAAUCUUUUCAUAUCCUUUUUUACAGUAUAAAUUUAUUCUUUUCACUCAAACAAACCUUUUAUUUUAAAUAUAUAAUCAAUUUCGAAUUUAUUAAAUAUAUAAAUAUAUUUUUAAUUUUUAACUAAAAAAAACCCUUAAAUAUUUAAUUUAUUUCGUAUUUAUUUAAAAUAUAAGUAUAUUUUUUUAUGUUCACUAAUACAAACCUUUUAAAUAUCUAAUUAAUUUUGUAAUUAUAAUUAAACUCAUGUAUAAUUUUGUAUUAAAUUUACAAUAUAAAUUUAAUAUAACAUUUUCAAUAAAAUCCUGGAUCCCUAACAUAUAUGAUUUUUAAUUUAAAAACUUGUACCAAAACAAUCAGUUUGAGAGUAUAAUUGAUUUGCGUUAUUAAAUAUAGUGAUCGGUUUAAUAUUAUAUUUUAAUAAUAGGAGUAUAUGAAUACUUUUGUGAACAUAAAUGUAAUCAUUUUAAUUUAUUUACAUAUAGACCAAGUUUAUAUAUUAUUAACUAAUGCAAUUAUUUUUUGUACUAUUUUUAUCUUGUGCAGUUUUGAAAGUGCAAUAUGUAUUGUACUAAUUUAUAUCAUUAAUUUAAAUGACUGACGAAUGAUUGAAAAAAAGAAUUCAUGUAAAUAUGUUUAUUUUGAAUCUGUUUAUUUUGAAUCUGUUCAUUAUCAAAUGAAAUGGUAGGUAUAAAUGUUAAUUGUAUAACGUGAUGUAUCAUAGAUGAAAGUUUGCAAAAAAAAAAUUAAUACCGAAAACUCAUUGCAAAUAAUCCUAAGAGUUUUGGAGUAAUACAACCAAAAGAUAAAAAUCGAAAUCACCAAUAGACAGCAUAAUAUACCUUCAAUUUUUGGUUCAAUAAUUUAAAUAAAGCAUAUGUUUUAUGAAUUAGACUUAGUAUAGUCAAAUAUUUAAAUCAUACAAAUAAUUUGAUAUAACAUAUAUGUAUGGUCAAAACCUACAAUAUAGGUUAACAUAUAUGUACGGCCAAAAUCUAAAAUAUAAGUAGACCCUCUAUGAAAUAUCUAAGUUAGUAUUAAAUUAAGUGUCAUUUCCCGUAAAUAUAACUUAAGGUUAAUAAGAAAAAUACCACUAACAACUUAAAAUAAUAAAUUAAAUUACUGCAAGUGAACUAUAAAAUUAUUGUGUGUUUAAAAUGCAAUGUUAUAAUAUAUAUCCUUAAUCAUGUAAAACAAAUAUGUAUGUGUAUAAAAGUUAAAAUAAUUAUCCGCACGGUUGUCCAGGUAAAGAUCUAGUUUUAAAUUAAAAUAUAGAUGAUAUGUGUUUAAGUUAUAACUAAAGAUAAGUGAAUAAUUUAAAUCACUUUUGUUUAAUAUUUUAUUCAAUUUUAUUUAAAAUAUGGAUAUUCUAUUUAAAUAUGAAUAAAGAUAAUCACAACUAUAAAUUAAGAUUUAGUUUAUAAAUUAUUAAUAAAACCAGAUUUGCAAUUUAAACAAACAAAAAUUUAAAUAAUCCACUAAAUUAGAAUAUCCUGUUUAUAGAAUAUCAAAAAAUUCCUAUAAAAAUUUCCCUAAAAUUUUUUAAUAUAGAAGGUUUGUUUAAUACUAUUAAUAAAUAAUAAAGAUUUAUAUUUUUAAACAAACCCAAUAUUUUUAUCUUUAAAAAAAAUGAUUUACAGUCUUUUUUAAUCUUACCAUUUAAUUAACAACACGCUAAACCCCCUCUAUAUAUAUUAACAUACACACUAAAGCUUAUUGAACAAUUUAAUGAAAUUUGAACUAAUUUUUUUUUUAUGUGUUACAAGUGUUAAAAUUAUUUGGCACUAGGGUCGGUCCGGGCUACGUCUGGGUUUUCUGUUUAAAUUUUACUUUUAAUUAUAUAUUUAAUAUGUUUAUUUUAAUAUAAAUUUUAGAAUCUAUUAUAAAAAUAUAAGUAGCUAUAGACAAAUAUAAAAUAAUUUUAAAUCAUUCAUUUCUUUUGUCUUAUGCAAUUCUAAAAUUGUAGUAUCCACUUUUUUUUUUGUUAUAAGAAACUAUAUAUAAGGUGAAGAGCAGAAUGAGAAAAAAAUUAAUUAAAUUUUAGGUAUAAUACUUUUUGAUCUGUAUCCAAAACCGAUACAGAUUAUUUAAGAAAAUAAAAGGUACCAAACAUAAAUUAGGUAAAACAAAUACAAAAGUAGGCUAAUAGCAUUAUUAUUGCAUGUAAUCACACAUCAAAUCAGAUCAAAAAGUCACUAAAGAUGCAGCUCUUUCCCUCCAAACGUUUUCUCAAUAUGUCGGUAGAUACUAUAUCCAUUAAUGGGAACACAGUCUAUAGUAUAACUUUCAAACCAUAGAGAAAAUUCGGCAGUAGGCUCCACUUAUGGAUUUGACAGACGAAUCAAGUCUUGAUGACUUCAUCUCUGUGCUCCAUACCAAGACAUAUUAUAGCCGAGGGGUUUCUAGUAUGUCCACUUCUCCAUCUGCUUGGACAAUAUGAACUUAGUGGAUGCUUCAAACGUCAUUCAGCAGAAUUGAGAAGUUGAUUGUGCAACUCUUCCCAUAUCACUUGAGGAUCACCACAAUAAGCACUGUGCACCGUUUGAUCUUCCCAGCUUCUGGAUGUAAACCUUCUUCGCUGUGUUUCUGAGCAACCAGAGCCAUGCCUAUGUGUUACAAAAAGAGCUCGGAUGUCAUGUCAUCAAUUCGUGUAAGGAGAGCGCAACACCUGUCCCGAUAUAUAAAACACGUCUCUUCUUCCAAAUCUCUGAGACGCUUCUUCAACCUCUGAUUAUUUUAAACCGACCAUUGACUUCCUCUACAGAUUCGUAACGCCUCUACGCAUCACUGAAAUCAGAGAUAUUAGUCCUAUAAAUAGUGCCGAUCAUUUCGUCAAAACCAGUGCCUCACUCAAUUCAGUCUCGCCGUUCUCCGCCAAUUCAGUCUCGACGUUCUCCGCAGACAGUGGCCACACCUCUCUUUCGUUUAUGGAAGCACGAGAUAUGAAGAAAGGAGAGCUAAUGGAGCUGACAACUUGACAUGCUCUUGAUUGAUGAAAAGUCUUCACAGUCGACGCUCCUCUAGGGCACCACUUCAAACUUUCAGAUUCAACCAUCGCCAUCCCGGACAAGAAGGAUAGAUGAAACUUUUGUUGUUGUCUCUUUGGUGUCAUUUUGAUUUGAGUGGUUUCUGGUUCCUGACAAACUUCAAGUUGUGAUUUGGUUUUGUUAAUUAGAGAGUUUGCUGUAAGAACCGAUGAUCGAAGCAAUGUAUGAAGAAUAGUUGGUGAUGCAAUAUAGCUUAAACCAAUAUCAGGAUAUCUUUAACAGCUUUC